UACGUAGGGUGCAAGCGUUGUCCGGAAUUAUUGGGCGUAAAGAGCUCGUAGGCGGUUUGUCGCGUCUGCUGUGAAAACCCGAGGCUCAACCUCGGGCCUGCAGUGGGUACGGGCAGACUAGAGUGCGGUAGGGGAGAUUGGAAUUCCUGGUGUAGCGGUGGAAUGCGCAGAUAUCAGGAGGAACACCAAUGGCGAAGGCAGAUCUCUGGGCCGUAACUGACGCUGAGGAGCGAAAGCAUGGGGAGCGAACAGGAUAGAA
rnacentral:rRNA from 1 species